CAUGUUUUCUACUUGUUCCGAUUGGUAGGCAAGGGUGGGGUUCAAAACCUAACAUUCUGGAAUGGAUCCUACCAAACAUGUCUGUGUUUGUUAGAGAGCACACUAUUCUAAAGUCAGGUGUGGAGAGGAUGGAGACAGCCAGCUCUCAUAGGCAGGGAGUAGAGAUGGUCAGCCCCUCUGAACAAUCCCAGCGUGGUGAUUGGCUGCAGGCCCAGAGAGCGAGGAGUGCUGGUUGGCUGCCCGGCGGGGGAUGAGUGAACAGGGCAAACGGCAGCAGGACUAAGCGUGGUGGAGUGAGGGUGAGUGCUGGAGCCACACUUUAAGCGUUCACCUCUAUAUUUUCUAGGGAAAGAAGAAGAAGCGGAAGAGGGAGAAGAUCCAGGAACCGGCUGCAGACCCCCAUAGAACUCCAUUCGACCCCUCCGCCCUCACUAGAGUGGGCUUUCAGAACCACCAUGCAGGUACAGGCCAGAGAAUGAAAACGGCGUACAUCUGAGCAGAAAUGGAGGAAAACGGAACGCUUUCUCCACGUCGUGCAAAGCGAAGGCAGCAGCUAUGGCCCCUCUGUUAGAGAUGGAGGCCUGCUAGAUUCCAUGAACCCUCCUCCACCUUAUCUCCGACCCCCAAGCCUCAACUCCCGUUCUCAGAGGAAUACACCCCCCGAACUUGACUUUAUACUCCUCUCCUGCAGUGACUCUCCUAUCUGCUGUAGAAACUCUGAACUGAACAAGACAAUCACUACUAAAGACCAUCAUCCAACCGCAUGCAACUCCCCAGCCCCCUCACUCACCAGCCCCCUCACGCCUUUUUUUCUCCUUACAAGCAGCUCUAUCUCAAUCCAAGGCACUGCACUGAAAACAGUUCAGCGAUUUCACUUUGUCAAACACAAUUAACACCUCCCCACACAUACCCCAACACCUGUUUCUAAGUUAUUCCUAAGUUAUUUGCCACCUCCGUUCCUUUCCUUUGUACAGCCCACUAUGUUCGACCCUCAACACUCCCCUGUCCCCUCUCUCACUGGAUUUCAGACCACGUGUUUGGGUUGCGGCCUGACCUCUUUAGACUGACUGCACUAUCACAAGGAAGAUGGAGGGAUGUCAAUCACAUGUUGUCAAGGAAACAUCCUCUCAAGGCUCCUAUCCUCCAUUUUGUUUUUAUUAACGGCCAGUUGGUGCAAAAAAUAUCAACGUUUUAUGAUUAUAGCUUUUACCUUUGAGUUGGAAUUAAUUGAAUGCUUUUUUGUAUUUUGAACUUGGUUUAAAUUUCUCGGUGUAUAUUUUCAGUGAAUUUUUUGUUUUGUUCUUUUUUUAGAAUAUAUAUACUGGUAUAUAUGAAAAUAAGCUUUGAACACAGGAAAGCCAUUUGUUUUCUUGUUAAAGCGUCUUGCAGAAAAAUGAAAAUUAAGGCUUCUUUUGAUACUAUUUGUAACAAAUAGUGACCUUGACUCGAGUCUUGCUCAGAUGUAAAAUAAAGCUCAGUAUGUGUACUUUUUAAAGAAACUGUCAGGAUAUGUCACUUUUCUUGGUAUUUUUGCAGGCAACGUUAGGACAAAGGCAAGUGGUUGCUCAGAGGCCUAUAUUUUAUUGUUCUAAACUGACAAAUGAAGCAGAUAUAUAUUUACCCCAGCACUUGGCAGUGUUCGUUUUAUUGCGAUCAGGGUUGGGGUCAAUUCCAGUAAAUUCAGAAAGUUAACCAAAUUCCAUUUGCAAUUCGACAUUUUCCUCAUUGGAAAGCAUUGAAGAGAAGUUGGAGUUGGAAUUUCAGUGUACUUCCUGAAUUGACACCAAGCUUGAUUGCGAUGGACUUUUCUCUUCUCUAUCUGGUAACUGUGGUCUUUUUGCCCAUGUUGUUUAUUUCAUGCAUUUCUGUAACAUUUUAUUGAUUUUAUGCUCUAUUUUUAGUAUUACUUGACGCAUUUUUUUUAUUCAUUGUCGUAUUUUGAAUCACUGUCAUCUUGGUAUAAGCACUUUGCUUCCCAAGUGGUCACAUUUUAACACUUUCAACAUGUUUUGUUUUUUUAAAGAAAAAUAAAAAGGCAU